rnacentral:rRNA from 1 species
AGAGUUUGAUCCUGGCUCAGAGCGAACGCUGGCGGCAGGCCUAACACAUGCAAGUCGAGCGCCCCGCAAGGGAGCGGCAGACGGGAGAGUAACACGUGGGAACGUGCCCUUUGGUUCGGAACAACACAGGGAAACUGUUGCUAAUACCGGAUAAGUCCGUAAGGAGAAAGAAUUUAUCGCCAAAGGAUCGGCCCGCGUCUGAUUAGCUGGUUGGUGAGGUAACGGCUCACCAAGGCGACGAUCAGUAGCGGUUUGAGAAGAUUAUCACCCUCACGGGGACUGAGACACGGCCCGACUCCUACGGGAGGCAGCAGUGGGGAAUAUUGGACAAUGGGCGCAAGCCUGAUCCAGCCAUGCCGCGUGGAUGAUGAAGGCCCUAGGGUUGUAAGUCCUUCGACGGGAAGAUAAUGACGGUACCGUAGAACAGCCCGGCUAACUCGUGCAG